rnacentral:lncRNA from 1 species
UUGGCUUCAUUAUCUUUACGGUCAGAUCAGGCAGGGAUGAUAUUUUUUUAUCGAGCCUAGUUGUAGUAGUUCAUGAACAGAUAGCUCGUCUGCAGAUGUAGCCGUCUUAGCCAGAAAAUUUCUACAAUAAUUGUCGAGACAGAAGGAUGGCAUGGCUUCAAAUAUCAUCGCGCAUAAAUCAAAAAAGAUGCACCAUAUAACAUCUAUUAUUACCGCACAACCAUGGAAACACAAAUAAGGCAGGUCAGUGGAUCAGGCAUUUCGACAUAUGCCCACUCAAGUUGAAACAAUAAUCAUUUAUGAAAGAUUAUCGCUGUGACACCAUCUGGUCAUUCGAAUUCGAAUUUUAUGGAACAAUGNNN